UGCCAGCCGCCGCGGUAAUACGGAGGGGGUUAGCGUUGUUCGGAAUUACUGGGCGUAAAGCGUACGUAGGCGGGCAAAGUAGUGAAACGUGAAAUCCUAGGGCUUAACCCUAGAACUGCGUUUCAAACCAUUUGUCUUGAGUACAGGAGAAGUAAGUGGAAUUCUCAGUGUAGCGGUGAAAUGCGUAGAUAUUGAGAAGAACACCUGUGGUGAAGACGGCUUACUAUUCUGAUACUGACGCUAAGGCACGAAGGCUAGGGGAGCGAACAGGAUUAGAUA
rnacentral:rRNA from 1 species